GACGAACGCUGGCGGCGUGCUUAACACAUGCAAGUCGAACGCUGAAGCUCAGCUUUUGUUGGGUGGAUGAGUGGCGAACGGGUGAGUAACACGUGAGUAACCUGCCCCCUCCUUUGGGAUAACGCCCGGAAACGGGUGCUAAUACUGGAUAUUCACUGGUCUUCGCAUGGGGGUUGGUGGAAAGGGUUUUUCUGGUGGGGGAUGGGCUCGCGGCCUAUCAGCUUGUUGGUGGGGUGAUGGCCUACCAAGGCUUUGACGGGUAGCCGGCCUGGGAGGGUGACCGGUCACAUUGGGACUGAGAUACGGCCCAGACUCCUACGGGAGGCAGCAGUGGGGAAGAUUGCACAAUGGGCGCAAGCCUGAUGCAGCGACGCCGCGUGAGGGAUGGAGGCCUUCGGGUUGUGAACCUCUUUCGCUCAUGGUCAAGCCGCAACAAUGGUUGUGGUGAGGGUAGUGGGUAAAGAAGCGCCGGCUAACUACGUG
rnacentral:rRNA from 1 species